UGGUGAUGUAGAGAAGCUCUGUGAAGA
rnacentral:piRNA from 1 species